rnacentral:rRNA from 1 species
UAAUACAGAGGUGGCAAGCGUUGUUCGGAAUUACUGGGCGUAAAGGGCGCGUAGGCGGUCUUGUCAGUCCCUUGUGAAAUCCCCCGGCUCAACUGGGGAACUGCAAGGGAAACAGCAGGGCUUGAGUUCGGGAGAGGGAAGCGGAAUUCCGGGUGUAGCGGUGAAAUGCGUAGAUAUCCGGAGGAACACCGGUGGCGAAGGCGGCUUCCUGGAC